rnacentral:lncRNA from 1 species
GAGGGUGGGGGCUGGGGUCCCUCUGGGAGGCUAGAGUUUUAUGGGAGCACUAACAGCCCUGUGAACUGAUGACCCUGGGGUCCUGGGGUGCCUCGGGAAAGUAAGAUUCUGGGGUUUCCGAGGGCAUGGAUUUUUCUGGAACCUUGAGUGGGGGGAGGGGCACCUCAAAGGUGCAGGGAGGACCUGUAGUUGCCUGAGGUUUGCGCUGCGAGAUAAGGAGUCUCCGGAUCCUUGGGAAGCUUGGAAGGCUGUGAGGUGUUAUUUCUGGACCCCUGGAGAUCUCUGGAAGAUGGAGUGUUGCGGGGACUGGAGUCCUGGGAUUUACAGGGGUGGGGGUUCACGAUGCAAACUCUCUAUAUUUUGGAGCCCUCCCCGGGGAAAUCUUUAGGUUCUUGAGGUGCUCUGCAAGUUGGAAAGGGCAGUUAUUCUGGAGCCGUGGGUUUCACCCAGUGCGGGAAGCCCAGGAGGAGCAUUGUAUGAGGCUGUUUUGGAGACAACUCACAGACUUCGAGAAUUCUCCGUGGCCCUGAACAGUGUCUCUGAAGUUGCCCUCGUGUCUUGCCUGACGUGUGCUCCUUCAGGCCCACAAAGAGAAGCCCUGCGUUGUGGACAAACAGUCUGGGGACCUAUGGACGAGACGUCUGUCUUCGACUAAUGCAUAUUUUUUAAGUGGGCCUGGUCCACGUUGAUUUCUGGGAGACGGAGUCGGCGCAAACCUUGACUCUACUUAAGUGCCCUGAUGGAGGCAGCCCGUGCGCUGGGCAGGGAGCUGAAGCCACUGGGGUGUGGGGUGAGGUCAGGCCCUGCCCUACAGAGGAGCUGCUCCGAACAGCCCAGGCGGGGCAGCCCCUGACCGAGGGGAUCUGCAGAUGCCCCGCCAGGCCGGUAUCUGGGGUCCUUGUUGCAGGCAGCGACUGCUGAGUCAUGCUGAGCUCAGCGCGGGAAGGGGCCCCCGCGGGGACGGAUGGGGGUGGGGCCACUCGCUGACCUCAUCCCCUUGGCACUCCCCGACUUUUUUGGUGGGACCCUCAGAACUAGACCUGGCUCAGACCCAAAUCG